AUUGAACGCUGGCGGCAGGCCUAACACAUGCAAGUCGAGCGGAUGAAGGGAGCUUGCUCCUGGAUUCAGCGGCGGACGGGUGAGUAAUGCCUAGGAAUCUGCCUGGUAGUGGGGGAUAACGUCCGGAAACGGGCGCUAAUACCGCAUACGUCCUGAGGGAGAAAGUGGGGGACCUUCGAACCUCACGCUAUCAGAUGAGCCUAGGUCGGAUUAGCUAGUUGGUGGGGUAAAGGCCUACCAAGGCGACGAUCCGUAACUGGUCUGAGAGGAUGAUCAGUCACACUGGAACUGAGACACGGUCCAGACUCCUACGGGAGGCAGCAGUGGGGAAUAUUGGACAAUGGGCGAAAGCCUGAUCCAGCCAUGCCGCGUGUGUGAAGAAGGUCUUCGGAUUGUAAAGCACUUUAAGUUGGGAGGAAGGGCAGUAAGUUAAUACCUUGCUGUUUUGACGUUACCAACAGAAUAAGCACCGGCUAACUUCGUG
rnacentral:rRNA from 1 species